rnacentral:rRNA from 1 species
UACGUAGGGGGCAAGCGUUGUCCGGAUUUAUUGGGCGUAAAGAGCGUGUAGGCGGCCUUACAGGUCAGCUGUGAAAACUCGAGGCUCAACCUCGAGACGUCGGUUGAAACCGUAUGGCUAGAGUCCGGAAGAGGAGAGUGGAAUUCCCGGUGUAGCGGUGAAAUGCGCAGAUAUCGGGAGGAACACCUAUGGCGAAGGCAGCUUGCUGGGACGGCACUGACGCUGAGACGCGAAAGCGUGGGGAGCAAACAGG